UGGUGAGUCUCUUUCUUUGUUCAGUUGAAAGGCCAUCGAUGCCUGGGAGUCCAACAAGUGCAUUCCUCAAUGGAGUAAGCUCCACCAAUUCCAUGACCUCCUCAACAAACAUCUGAAGAAAAUGCAAACUAGUUUAGCAGGUAGACGAAGCCAGGCAGAGUAUACGAGUGAUUCAUAGACGGUGACAUAAGGAGAAUGGACAUCAUUCUGUUCACAAUAACCGCUAACUCGAGCAAAGGUAGUCUGGUUCUUUGGAUAGCCUGAAACACUUAUGGUUCCUUGAAUGUAACCUCCAGUUUUUCGACCAGCAAGGACAUCCAUCAACGUGGUCUUCCCAGCUCCACUGACACCUACCAAUGCUGUUAGAAUUCCCGGCCUAAAUGCGCCACUUACAUCUUGAAGCAACUGAAGUCUUUCUUCCUGUGUCGUCGUCUUCAUCUCCUGAAACACUCACAUUGUUUGUUCUCAGAUCAGAUCAAAACUUGAAAUGGUACUAACAAAUUCUUGAUUGAGUUUGGCAGGCAACUUACAGCAGGCAUAUCGACGUAGUAAUUCACAUGGUCGAAAGCAAGAGACAGUGGUUCAAAAGCUUUACUACCUCCUAGAGCUGAUAUUCAGUACAGAGCACCAUGGCGACAUUAUUCAACCGAUGAGGUUGAGGAAUGAUUUCUUAAAGCACAGAACAUGAAGGUUGAAUGUACUUACGGUUUAAGUAUGUCAAUGCUGCAAUGAAGAGCACAUUGAACAAAAGAGAGAACCCGAAAAGAGCCAUGAUGCAUAUCCAGUACCAUCUCUCCGUGGUAAAUAGUCCCCUGUCGCGAAGAAGAGUCUUGCCAACAGUAGGUUCGGAGCCAUUGGUGGGCUGAGAAGAUAAAAAGAUCGAACCACCAUUAGUGUGUCAUGAUGCAGCUUCUAAAGACAAUCUAUGGAAUUAUCAGAGGACUUACUGCACUCCAUCUCUCAGCCAGAAAUUCAUUGAUGGCGAUGGCAUUCUGUCCGUACAUCAUCGGAGAAAUAUAGUACCCCCAGAUCAUCCAGUCUUCAAUAUCAUCUGUGCAACCACAGGCAUACAAGUUUUGUUCAUAGGAAGAACGAUGCAAUGCAUCGUAAUUAAAAGUACUGACCUUUGGCAACGAUGAACCCUCCGAGUACGAAAACCAUCAGCAAAGUGAAUGUCCCCAGAGUGUUGGCUACAAUUUGAGUUCUUCCAGCAGCUGCAAUGAAACGGAACAGCGAAAGAGCCAUUUGAUGCACUCCCACAAAUGCCAGCAGUUGUUUAAAGAACCUCACAGGAGAUGGUGCAAAGCCGAUGGUGUAGUACGUAAGGAUGAUCCACAGAGAAGACUCCAUAGCCGAAAUAGGAAUUCGGAGGACCCAAAUUGGCAGUGCAAAAGCCCAAGCUGGGUAGAACAAGCAGUCCCUCUGUUUAAAGAACACAGGAAGCCUAAAAACAGUCAUCGCCAGCUCUUGCAUCCCGUUGAACAUGACGUUGAUGAGACUGAAGAACAAGGCUCCCCAGAACUUGGAUGCAUCUUCUAUCCUGCCCGACUUCAUCUCUGUUCUCAAGAACACAGUCAGCGCGAUCGUAGCCAUUAUUGUUAUUUGUGUUGUCUUGAAGAUGUAUAUGAACGAGCUGCGCUUCAUCAGGAGCCAUUCUCUGUCGAAACAUGCCCGGAAAAGCUCCCAGUUGGAGAUACCAUAUUUCUCUUUCACCAAGGCAGCAGGAUGUGCUCUUAACUUAUCAUACGGGACUCGAAGAUCUUCAGCGAGUUCUUGGCCUAUGUGAAAUGAGUUAAAAGCCUGUGCGAAAUCCGGUGCAGAGAUAUAACGAUAGGGGUGAUUCUCUCGACACCAAUAUUGUUCUUGAUCGUUCUUGGAAGUGACUUCUUGGAGGAAGUCUGCAACUCCUUUCCUGUCCGGGCACUUGAAUCCCAUAUAUUCAAAGAAGUCGAGAAUGUUCUCACGCGGGCCUUGAUAGACAAUGUGACCGUCCGAAAGCAGGAUAACAUUGUCGAAGAGCUCAAAUGUCUCGGGGGCAGGCUGUAGUAAAGAGAUGACCAUUGUUAUGUCAUUGAUAUGGACCAUUUGCCUCAUGAAUUUCACAAUCUGGUACGUCGUGGAGCUGUCCAGCCCCGUCGAUAUCUCGUCCAUGAAGAGCGCUUUCGCCGGUCCGACCAACAUUUCCCCUGCAUUUCAUUACCUGAAAUGCCCCGUCUCAUUUCGUCUCCAACCAUAAUAUCCGCGCAGAUAUCCAGCCCGAGGAUCUACGGGGAUUUAGGAUGUCGAACAACAAAAAGGAUUCAAUGUUAGGAUCGGAAAUGGACGAAACUGCAGAUGGAGAACUUCAUUCACCUUGAGG